CAUCGUUUUAUGAAUUUAUAUAUAUAAAAUAUAACCUGCCCAAUGAAUAUUUAAAUGGCCGCGGUAUUUUGACCGUGCAAAGGUAGCAUAAUCAUUAGUUUCUUAAUUAGAAGCUGGAAUGAAUGGUUGGACGAGAAAGUGACUGUCUUUAUUUAAAAAAUUAGAAAUUUAUUUUUAAGUUAGAAAGCUUAAAUUUUUUUAAAAGACGAGAAGACCCUAUAGAGUUUAAUUUAUAUUAUAAUUAUCGUGAAAUUAGUAUAUAAAUUUAUAUAAUUAUAUAUUUAUUUAAUUGGGGUGAUUGGAGGAUUUAAUUAACUCUUUCUAUAUUUAUUUAUUGAUUUAUAUAUUUUUGAUCCAUAUUUUUUGAUUAAAAGAUUAAAUUACCUUAGGGAUAACAGCGUAAUUUUUAUGGAGAGUUCUUAUCAAUAUAAGAGUUUGCGACCUCGAUGUUGGAUUAAAAUAAAUAUUUGGUGUAGAAGCUUAAGUAUUAAGUCUGUUCGACUUUUAAAAUUUUACAUGAUCUGAGU
rnacentral:rRNA from 1 species